UGACCUCUGACCUCAAAUCAGGUAGGACUACCCGCUGAACUUAAGCAUAUCAAUAAGCCGGAGGAA
rnacentral:rRNA from 1 species